rnacentral:rRNA from 1 species
UCAGGACGAACGCUGGCGGCGUGCUUAACACAUGCAAGUCGAGCGGAAAGGCUCCUUCGGGGGUACUCGAGCGGCGAACGGGUGAGUAACACGUGAGUAAUCUGCCCUGUGCUCUGGGAUAGCCACCGGAAACGGUGAUUAAUACCGGAUAUAACCACUAUAGGCAUCUGUUGGUGGUGGAAAGUUUUUUCGGCACAGGAUGUGCUCGCGGCCUAUCAGCUUGUUGGUGAGGUAAUGGCUCACCAAGGCUUUGACGGGUAGCCGGCCUGAGAGGGUGACCGGUCACACUGGGACUGAGACACGGCCCAGACUCCUACGGGAGGCAGCAGUGGGGAAUAUUGGACAAUGGGCGGAAGCCUGAUCCAGCAACGCCGCGUGAGGGAUGACGGCCUUCGGGUUGUAAACCUCUUUCAGUACCGACGAAGCGCAAGUGACGGUAGUACAGAGA